rnacentral:rRNA from 1 species
GACGAACGCUGGCGGCGUGCUUAACACAUGCAAGUCGAACGGACCGGCCCUGCUUUUGUGGGGUGCUCGAUUGGCGAACGGGUGCAUAACAUGUGAGUAAUCUUCCUUUGACUUUGGGUUAAUUCUAGGAAACUGGGGCUAAUACCUGAUAUGACCUCCUGCUGCACGGUGGUGGUUCGAAUGUUUCGGUGGUGGGGGAUGGACUCGCAGCCUUGCAGCUUGUUGGUGGGGUAAUGACUCACCAAGGAUUUGUCUAGUAGCCGGCCUGAUGGGGUGACAGGCCGCAUGGCGACAGAGAUACGGCCCAGACUCCUACGGAAGGCAGCAGUGCAGAAUAUUGCACAAUGGGCGGAAGCCUGAUGCAGCAACGCCGCGUGCGGGAUGACGGCCUUCGGAUCGUAAACCGUUUUCGCCUGUGACGAAGCGUGAGUGACGGUAAUGGGUAAAGAAGCACCGACUAACUACGUG